rnacentral:rRNA from 1 species
CUACGGGAUGCUCCAGUGGGGAAUUUUGGACAAUGGGGGCAACCCUGAUCCAGCCAUGCCGCGUGAGUGAAGAAGGCCUUCGGGUUGUAAAGCUCUUUCAGCCGGGAAGAAAUCGCAUGGGUUAAUACCCUGUGCGGAUGACGGUACCGGAAUAAGAAGCACCGGCUAACUACGUGCCAGCAGCCGCGGUAAUACGUAGGGUGCGAGCGUUAAUCGGAAUUACUGGGCGUAAAGCGUGCGCAGGCGGAUGCUUAGGUCAGAUGUGAAAUCCCCGGGCUUAACCUAGGAAUUGCAUUUGAAACUGGGUGUCUAGAGUGCGUCAGAGGGGGGUGGAAUUCCACGUGUAGCAGUGAAAUGCGUAGAUAUGUGGAGGAACACCAAUGGCGAAGGCAGCCCCCUGGGAUGACACUGACGCUCAUGCACGAAAGCGUGGGGAGCAAACAGGAUUAGAUACCCUCGUAGUC